CCUACGGGUGGCAGCAGUAGGGAAUAUUGCUCAAUGGGGGAAACCCUGAAGCAGCAACGCCGCGUGGAGGAUGAAGGUUUUCGGAUUGUAAACUCCUUUUGUUAGAGAAGAUAAUGACGGUAUCUAACGAAUAAGCACCGGCUAACUCCGUGCCAGCAGCCGCGGUAAUACGGAGGGUGCAAGCGUUACUCGGAAUCACUGGGCGUAAAGAGCGCGUAGGCGGGAUAGCAAGUCAGAUGUGAAUUCCUAGGGCUUAACCAUAGAACUGCAUUUGAAACUGUUAUUCUAGAGUAUGGGAGUGGUAGGUGGAAUUCGUGGUGUAGGGGUAAAAUCCGUAGAGAUCAAGAAGAAUACUCAUUGCGAAGGCGACCUGCUAGAACAUAACUGACGCUGAUGCGCGAAAGCGUGGGGAGCAAACAGGAUUAGAUACCCUUGUAGUC
rnacentral:rRNA from 1 species